AACGAACGCUGGCGGCAUGCCUAACACAUGCAAGUCGAACGAGACCUUCGGGUCUAGUGGCGCACGGGUGCGUAACGCGUGGGAACCUGCCCUUAGGUUCGGAAUAACUCCCCGAAAGGGGUGCUAAUACCGGAUAAUGUCUUCGGACCAAAGAUUUAUCGCCUUUGGAUGGGCCCGCGUUGGAUUAGCUAGUUGGUAGGGUAAAAGCCUACCAAGGCGACGAUCCAUAGCUGGUCUGGGAGGAUGAUCAGCCACACUGGGACUGAGACACGGCCCAGACUCCUACGGGAGGCAGCAGUGGGGAAUAUUGGACAAUGGGCGAAAGCCUGAUCCAGCCAUGCCGCGUGAGUGAUGAAGGCCUUAGGGUUGUAAAGCUCUUUUACCCGGGAUGAUAAUGACAGUACCGGGAGAAUAAGCUCCGGCUAACUCCGUG
rnacentral:rRNA from 1 species